UAAAAGUCGUAACAAGGUUUCCGUAGGUGAACCUGCGGAAGGAUCAUUAAAGAGUAAGGGUGCUCAGCGCCCGACCUCCAACCCUUUGUUGUUAAAACUACCUUGUUGCUUUGGCGGGACCGCUCGGUCUCGAGCCGCUGGGGAUUCGUCCCAGGCGAGCGCCCGCCAGAGUUAAACCAAACUCUUGUUAUUUAACCGGUCGUCUGAGUUAAAAUUUUGAAUAAAUCAAAACUUUCAACAACGGAUCUCUUGGUUCUCGCAUCGAUGAAGAACGCAGCGAAAUGCGAUAAGUAAUGUGAAUUGCAGAAUUCAGUGAAUCAUCGAAUCUUUGAACGCACAUUGCGCCCCUUGGUAUUCCGAGGGGCAUGCCUGUUCGAGCGUCAUUACACCACUCAAGCUAUGCUUGGUAUUGGGUGCCGUCCUUAGUUGGGCGCGCCUUAAAGACCUCGGCGAGGCCUCACCGGCUUUAGGCGUAGUAGAAUUUAUUCGAACGUCUGUCAAAGGAGAGGACUUCUGCCGACUGAAACCUUUAUUUUUCUAGGUUGACCUCGGAUCAGGUAGGGAUACCCGCUGAACAUAAGCAU
rnacentral:rRNA from 1 species